rnacentral:tRNA from 1 species
GGGCGCAUAGCUCAGUCUGGUAGAGCAACUGGCUUUUAACCAGUAGGUCCCAGGUUCGAUCCCUGGUGCGCUCACCA